UCCUGACUAUGCUUAACAGCAGAGUUGGACUACACGUCAAUUCACUAGUACAUUAAUAAUAUAAUUAAUGUCAUAAAAUACAGAAGUUUCUUGCGAGAAACUUCAGUGAAGAUAAGGUAAAUUGGCUAUAGUUU
rnacentral:sRNA from 12 species